UACGAAGGGUGCAAGCGUUAAUCGGAAUUACUGGGCGUAAAGGGUGCGUAGGCGGUUGUUUAAGUCUGUCGUGAAAUCCCCGGGCUCGACCUGGGAAUGGCGAUGGAUACUGGACAGCUAGAGUGUGUCAGAGGAUGGUGGAAUUCCCGGUGUAGCGGUGAAAUGCGUAGAGAUCGGGAGGAACAUCAGUGGCGAAGGCGGCCAUCUGGGACAACACUGACGCUGAAGCACGAAAGCGUGGGGAGCAAACAGG
rnacentral:rRNA from 1 species